rnacentral:rRNA from 1 species
UACGUAGGGGGCUAGCGUUGUCCGGAAUCAUCGGGCGUAAAGCGCGUGUAGGCGGCCCGGUAAGUCCGCUGUGAAAGUCGGGGGCUCAACCCUCGGAUGCCGGUGGAUACUGUCGGGCUUGAGUGCGGAAGAGGCGAGUGGAAUUCCUGGUGUAGCGGUGAAAUGCGCAGAUAUCAGGAGGAACACCAAUUGCGAAGGCAGCUCGCUGGGACGUUACUGACGCUGAGACGCGAAAGCGUGGGGAGCAAACAGG